GACGAACGCUGGCGGCGUGCUUAACACAUGCAAGUCGAACGGUGAAGGGACUGGUUUUGCUGGUCCUGGAUGAGUGGCGAACGGGUGAGUAACACGUGAGUAACCUGCCCCCUUCUUCUGGAUAACCGCAUGAAAGUGUGGCUAAUACGGGAUAUUCUGGUUUUUUGGAUGGUUGGGCCGGGAAAGGAUUCCCCUUUUUUGGUUUUUUUGGGGGGGGGUUGGGCUGGCGGCCUUUCAGCUUGUUGGUGGGGGGAUGGCCUACCAAGGCGGUGACGGUUAGCCGGCCUGAGAGGGUGGACGGUCACACUGGGACUGAGACACGGCCCAGACUCCUACGGGAGGCAGCAGUGGGGAAUAUUGCACAAUGGGCGCAAGCCUGAUGCAGCGACGCCGCGUGAGGGAUGGAGGCCUUCGGGUUGUGAACCUCUUUCGCCAGUGAAGCAGGCCUGCCUCUUUUUGUGGGUGGGUUGACGGUAGCUGGAUAAGAAGCGCCGGCUAACUACGUG
rnacentral:rRNA from 1 species